rnacentral:rRNA from 1 species
AAUAGAUACCCUGGUAGUCCACGCCGUAAACGAUGUCGACUUGGAGGUUGUUCCCUUGAGGAGUGGCUUCCGGAGCUAACGCGUUAAGUCGACCGCCUGGGGAGUACGGCCGCAAGGUUAAAACUCAAAUGAAUUGACGGGGGCCCGCACAAGCGGUGGAGCAUGUGGUUUAAUUCGAUGCAACGCGAAGAACCUUACCUACUCUUGACAUCCACGGAACUUUUCAGAGAUGAAUUGGUGCCUUCGGGAACCGUGAGACAGGUGCUGCAUGGCUGUCGUCAGCUCGUGUUGUGAAAUGUUGGGUUAAGUCCCGCAACGAGCGCAUCCCUUAUCCUUUGUUGCCAGCGGUUAGGCCGGGAACUCAAAGGAGACUGCCAGUGAUAAACUGGAGGAAGGUGGGGAUGACGUCAAGUCAUCAUGGCCCUUACGAGUAGGGCUACACACGUGCUACAAUGGCGCAUACAAAGAGAAGCGACCUCGCGAGAGCAAGCGGACCUCAUAAAGUGCGUCGUAGUCCGGAUUGGAGU